CAGUCGUUAGCCCUAUAUUUGGCUGUUUCUAAUCUGUUACUAAUCAAAAAUCAAGUGAUACAGUGAAGAUUCAUUGGUGUAGAGCUGAUCAACAAUAGCCCUAUAGCAAAUCUAUUGAAUCAUUUGGAAGAGUUUCUUUUGUUGCAAGCACAGGAAUUCUGGUAGGACGAUCACCUGAGAAGCAAACAUCACCACGCCUGCCCUGGAAGGGUACGGAACAGCUUCCUGGGUCGGUCGUGUUCCGAACCUGCAGGAGGGAAGCAGUGUCGCGUAGACAUGGAGGCGCCUGGAUCUUCAGUGCUCCCCUCCUGUUGGUGCAGCCGGAUCAGUACCAGAGGGAGCAGGCACAGUCUGUGACA
rnacentral:lncRNA from 1 species